rnacentral:lncRNA from 1 species
CCACAUAUGGAAAGAAAAGAAAAGAGAAGAGAAGAGAAAGGAAAAAAAAAAAGAGCUUGAUGGGGGCUGCUUGAUUCUUCAAGUUUAGGCUUGAUUUGCAAGUGAAAUUGGUGAUCAAAAAUACUUUUCAAGCUUUAAUCUCAUUCUAGAAGCCUUUGAUGAUCGAUUUGGUAAGUAAUUUUAAUGUUUUGGUUGAUUUAUAUUAGGGUUUUCAAAUUAUAGAAUUCGGGUUUGAUGAUUCUGGUUUUUCAGUCUUAUUGUUUUGAUCAUAUUUUGAGCUAGGAAGCUCUAAAUUGAGUGUUAUCUGAUGAUCUAGAAAUUUUGAAAGAGUUGUCUAAAACUAUUCCUUUUUUAGCUUGAUCUAAUCCAGCUUCUAUGUUAAUUUAAUUAAAGGAAAUAUUUUAUUGCUUAAUCUGUGAGAGUAGUUGAACUUAUUGUAAUUCGACCCCUAUAAAUCUCCUUGUCGUCACCCAAUAGAAGUCAAAUUUUUAUUUCAUGUACUAGACACAUAAAUAUAGUUCUGAUCAAAAUCUUAGCUCAAAACGGCUUUUCUAUAAGUCCAAGAAGUUUUUUAAAGUCAGAUAUGGAAGUAGCUAUUCUGAUUAUGUGAACCAAGUUUACAGAGUUCAUGAGUUAAAUGUAGUCGAGAUACUUUUCGUAUAUCUUAAAAUAGAAAAAUCCAACUUGAGCUUGGUUUGUUUAUGAAGAAACUUGUGGGAAUUUUUUUAUAACUUUUUAGUUUUGAAUUGGAGCUAAUUCUAUCUAUAACAUGAUUAAUCGAGGCCAUACUUUUAAUUGCUCUGUCUGUCAGGAUUAUCGAAGCUGGUUAUGUUGAGCUAUCCUUAAUCCCUUUAAUAGUCAAGCAAUUGAAGUGAAAUUUUUAUUGAAGGUACUAGACACAUAUCUAUUACUGGUUAAAAAUUAAGGUUAAAAUUCCUUCUCUACAUGUCAAAGAAAAUUGUUUUAAUAUAAGCCUGAAAACAACUCUUAUAGAGUUAAUAAGGUUGGUUUGUAAAGUUAAGUUAAUUUGCAUAUUUUGUAUAUAGUUUGGGAGCUGCAUGAUUAUAUCAAUAUAUGGAAUUAUUAUGUUGAUGAAUUAUAAAUAAAUUUCAUGCUUUAGGUGCUUGAAAAGGCAAGGAAAAUAAGGUGCAAACUAAUCAAUUCAGUGAAUUGAUUAUGUGUAUUUGUAGACUGUUUUGGUAUCAGAGCUCUGACUGAACUGAGAAGACUGUGGUCUAUAAGUGCCUGACCAAGUCCAAGGUCUUCUACUAUAUCUAGGUUGUACAUUCAUUUUACAGUCUACAAAUACACACAAUCAAUUCAUUUAUUUUUUUGACACCUAAAUUUUUUUUGACAUGUUUGCUUAAUAUUUGACGCAUAGAAUNNNAUGUGUAUUUUUUGGUUUUAUCUAUUAAUUUAUUGAUUAAUAAGUUACAUUCCUAAUUAAAUACUCAUUCUAAUUCAAGAAAUAGUAUAUUAAUAAUAAAUUAGAUUCCUAAUUAAAUAAUGAUUAUUUUAAAAAAUAGGAUAUUAAUUAUAUUUUAAUAUUAAAUUAACUAAUAAAUUAGUUCUCUAAUUAGAUAAUAAUUCUAAUUAUAGAAAAUAAUAUUUUUAAAUAUUAUAUUCAUUAAUAAAUUAAUUUUAAUUAUAAAUUAAUUUCUAAUUCUAAAAAAUAGUAAUAUCAAUUAUAUUGAUGGUAUUAAUUUAUAUAAUAUUAGAAUUAAUAAAUAAAUAUUUUUUUUAAAAAAAUAUAUUAUUGCAAUACCAAAGGGAGCCGAGAGCUGCUCAUUCUAUGAUCCUCAUACUGUAAACUCAAGGCAUGAGAAAUCCUUAAGCUAAGACCGUAUAGAGGCACCUUUGCCAUGAGAGGUCUUUCUGCUCUUUUGGAUUCUUAUAGCCGAGUUAGUCCUUUUGAAUCAUAUAAGAACAGAUCGUGCAAAUAAAUAGCUCAUAGCCAAUGGAUCGAGAAGAAGAGAUGAAGAAUUUAGAAAGCCAUGAGAAUAAAGAGGAAUAUUAUGUUGAUAGAUGAAAGGAAAAACUUGCUUCCUUUCAUUACUCUCGACUCCCCUUUAUAUAAGAAGGCUAAAUACAAUAAGACAGAAAAUAUAAGGUGGGAAUCUUAUCUUUGACACAUGUCUUCCUCAGAAGAGGAAAUGAGAUUUCCCACUUAUAAAAGGAUAAGUCCUAUCUAAUAAUACAUUGACUUCUCACAUGCAUAUUAAGACGAUAAGUCUUAAUAAUACACUUACAUAUCACAUGCAGAAAAGCAGGAAAUAAUACACCUAAUAAGACGAAAAAGAUAAAAUUGAAAUCUCAUCUUUUUCUUACAUCUUGAAUUAUUUGAGGAGAAAGAUAGUCUUUAUGGCCAGCUCACGAACCACUACCAUUGCCAGCUCACAAACCACUGUCAUCGCCAUCAUCAUCCAUAGGUUGAGAAUCUUGCAUAAUGGCAUCCUUCUGUUCAGUGGUCAGACUUGGAUCAUCUAGUGGGGUUGGUAGUAUAGGAAAAGUGGAAUGUUCAAUAAUGGAGUGUUCACUUCAUAGAUGUCUAUUGUAAGUGCAGACAAGUGGUGUAGAAACAUCGGUCCAUCCUAAAUUAUUUCUUAGUUGUAGAGUGAGCUUUAAAUCCCUUGUUAUUAUUGGAGGGGCAAGAUGUAAGGGCAUUUCAAUUGUUCUCCAAUAGUGACAGAUAUUUUAGGUGAAAUAAGUGUCUUAUGAGAGCUGAAGGUAAGGCCUGUGAAGAAUAUAGAUGGCAUGAUAUCCUGAAGCCUUGAAGUCAUUGUCUGUGAACAAUUUAUUUUCAUGAAUGAUUUUGAGGAGAUCCUUUUUCCAUUGGUAUGGGGUUUUGAACCAAGUGAGGUAUUUCCAUGGAUAGGUUCCUGCAUUUGUUUCAAUAUUGAAGAAGUAUAGGAGAUCCAUGACUGGUACUUCCAUAGCAUGAUAGCAAACUGUGGAAAGACACCAUAAAAACCAUAAUUCACUUUCAAUUUAUGGAUGGGUAAGGGAAAGGUGAUAAAUUAAGCACCAAGGGUAAUCUGGAUAAAAGAAAUUGGGUUGGAUGGGUAGUGAGAAAGUCUGUUGGAUAGUUGCCAAAUAAUGAAACAUCAUAUUUUUGGCAAAAUCAUUGACUUGUUUGGUUGUGAGAUUUGUGGGAAGGUCUGGUGGUGAGGGAGGUUGCAUAGGGUUUCUUGAGGACAAAGAGGCCAUGAAGAUUAUAGGAAGAUUAACUGUUGAGGUGAGGAGGACAAUAGGUUGGUGUUUGGGUUGCGGCUUUGACAGUCUGGAUAAGCAAUCUGGGAUGAGAUUUCUCGUUCCUUUUAUAUGCUGAACUUCAAAAUCAUAUCUACUAAACCAUGAUUUUAACCUCAAUAAUUGAGGUUCUGGUAAGGUUUUUUGGUUGGACUCAAGGAUUUUUGGAAAUGAAGAAUUAUCCAUCCGAACCAAGAAGUGUUGACCAAUCAGGAAAAAUUCAAACUUUUUUAUCCCGUAUUUGACUGCCAAGAUCUCUUUGUAUGUUGAAUGGUAAUGCUUUUCUGAUGGAGAAAAUUGUCCUGAUGCAUAACCACACAGAUGUUCCUUGUUGUUGAGGUUUUCAAGAAGAAUGGCCCCCACGCAUGAUUAGAUGCGUCAGUCUGUAGGAUAAGAUUUCCUGUAGAUGGACUGGUGAGGGGUGGAGGAUUGUGAGCCAAUUCUUUCAGUCUCUGGACAGCUGUCGUCUGUUCUGUUCCCCAAGGGGGAGGGUCCUUUUUGAGCAUUUUGGAAAGAUGACAUGUGUAGCUGGAUAGGUGUAGUAUGGCUUUCCUGACAUAGUUGAGUAUCCCAAGAAACUGUUGUAUUUGCUUUACAGAGAGAUUCUCAUCUGGAAAGUAAUCAAGCUCUUUUGUCAAGUGUGGACCAUACGUGUAUUGGCCGUCUUUGAAAUGCAUGCCAAGAAACUCUAUCUCUUGUUGGCCAAUAAUACUCUUUUUCUCUGACAGCAUGAUUCCAUACUUUUGGAUGAUAGCAAGGAAUUGUUUCAGGAGUUGAUGAUGUUCCUCAGCUGUCUCCGAGAAUAGGAGCAUGUCAUCAAUGUAGAUAAGGGAGGAGUAAAGGAUAGGCCCAAAGAUUUCUAUCAUUGUUUUUUGAAACUGAGAAGGAGCUGUUUUGAGCCCAAAAGGCAUGACUGUCCAUUGAUAUUGGGCGUUUGGGAUACAAAAAGCUAUUUUGUAUCUUUCUGGAGGAUGGAUACCCAACUGCCAAAAUCCAGCCUUGAGGUCAAAUUUUGAAUAGUACUGGGCCUUUUGAAUGUGGACUUUUAGGUUCGAAAUUCGAGGGAGAGGAAAUUUGUUGUCUUGUAAAAAAUGAUUCAGAGGCUUGUAAUCAAUAACAAGUCUCUUUUUCCCCCUUAACUUUUCAGAUCUUUUUUCUACAUAAAAGGCUUAACAGGCCCAUUGUGAGGUAGUGGGCUCAAUGAGGCCUUAUUGUAGCAGAGUCAAGCAUUCCGAUCUGGCAAGGGCUAGAUCUGUAGGAGACAUUCCUAGAUGGGUGGCCUUUGUUGGGUUGAUAUCUUCAUUGAGCUUAAAAGGGAGGCUGAUAUAGAACUGGAGAUUUUUUCACAAGGGAAGAGGGUGUUGGAAAUGUGAAUGGGAUUCUAGACAAAAAGGAAGAAAUUUUUCUUUGUAUUGUAGAAAUGGUGGUUUUGUAUCUGCUAUAGUGAACAGAUUAGAGGUAUCUGUGUAUUGGCGAAAUUGCCUCUUGAACUUUAUUCCAUUGGGAAGAAUUUGAAGCUUUUGAGCUUGAUGAUAAACAUCAAACCCUAUUAAGAGGUCUUUGUUUGGGAGAUCUGGGCCAAUGAUGUGCGUCCAUACCACGCAAUCAGGAAAAAACUGUAUCCCGAUUUUUUACCUUGUGAUUAGAGUAGUCUUGAAAGUUUGACCAUUUGCUGCUCUGAAAAACUGAAUAUGGGAUUUUCAGUAUUCAGAUAGGAGGACUUCGGGAUUCAUCAUGCUUCUUUGAGCUCCAGUGUCAAAGAAAGCUAUAACUGGAACAGGUUUUGCAUACUUUGAAGGCAAGACUUGUAUAGGAAUAUAAGGAACUAGAGGAAUUUUAGUAGCAAGCUGAGAUAACUCAGGAACUGGAUAUGGAGAGAAAGGGUACUGCAUCACAUUUGUCAGAAUGUCUUUCUCUUCUGUUGAGGGAAGAUUGAUCAUUAGAAUUGGAAUCUCACUAUCAUCAGAAUCUGAAGAGGACUCUUCUGAAGAUUCAGUAGAGUCGUAAUAUUCUGCUUCUAAUUCAAAGAGACUUUCUGGAGUAAGAUCAUCUUAUUCUGAUAAGAGAGACUCUAUAUCUUCUUCGAAUGAAACUGGUAGAGACAUAGACAUGCUGACUUGUUGUAUCAUCCUUGCUGAUUUUUCCGUAUUUUGAGGGCAAUUCUUAGCAUAAUGCCCUUUCUUUCGGCAGAUGUAGCAUCUGUCUGAUUUGUGGCCUUGAUUCCUCUUUUUUCGGAAGUAUCUGAAUCCUUUUGAAUGUGGCCUUUUCCCUCUGAAUUCUUUGCUUCUGCUGCGUGGGUAUUUUUGAUGUCCGAUUUUCUUCUUGUGGCUAGAGCAACGCAAUUAGAAGCCUUGCAUUUAAUCUUGAGUGGCUUUUGUUACAAGCCUUUUGAACAAUCAAAUCUCGCUGANNNUCUGGUUGUAUCUCAUAUGGUAAUGAGGGUGAUGAAAGUAUAUUUCAAUGUAUCAUUACCAUCGUGCCCUCCAAUGACAUAAUAUAACUUGGACAUGGCAGAAUAGUGUCUUUCCAGAUCCUUGAUCUUCAACGAACAACAUUUUCGAUCAAAGUAUUCUUAUUUUUGUUGUCGUAUAAUGAGAUCAUAACUUCCAAGGAACUGAUUAUGGAGGACUGUGACCGCAGCUGAUGGGGUUGGUAGCGUCACAAAUUGGAGCCUGGUAUACUCAGGUUGUGACUGGAACCAAUCUUUUAAACUCCCUAUGAAUCUCGUAACAAAUUCAGCAAGAACCUUUUUAAGUGUGGCACCAUCAAAAUUCAUUUGGAGAUCAAUCCAUGCCAAAAAUUUAGAAAGUUUAUCCCUCCAUUUUGAUGGAGGCAAAUCAUCAAAGGUGAACCAAGGUCCCGUGCCAGUUGUCGGUUUUGACCUUGGGUAUGAAGCUCCAGUAGGAACAAAAUAUGACUGUGCAUCCUCUGUGCCAUCUUCAGACUCUACUACUUCUGGACUGGGUUCAGUAGUAGAGGUAUUCAUGAGAAUUUCUGUGAUAUCAGCCAUCUCAGAGGUAUUUGAGGAAGAAUCAGAAUCAUAAGGGCUGAUGAGUGAUUGGUCUGGCAAUUUAUUUUCUUUAGAAACUGGAGGAGGAGAUAUUUUCUUUUGUUGAGUUAUGGAGCCUUUUGGAUAUAGAUAUGAGAAGGUACCAAAGGGUUGGUAAAGAGUUCCUUCUUGUUCUGGCUAUGGGAGGAAAGGAAACGAAGAAUAGUAUGAGGGGGCAAUGGCAGAAGAUGUAGAAGCUGCUGAUGUAAAGGAAGGGAUUGUAGAAGACUGAUCUUUUCUAAGGUCAUGUUCAAUUUGAUCAAUCUGCCUUUUGAGCCUUGUAAUUUCUUUUUCUUUCUGGAUGAAAGCUGGUGUAAUCGGUUGAGGAACUCGAAGCUCUCUAUCCAAUGCUUGAUAUUUGGCGGUUAGAGAAGAAUAUAGUUGGAGUACUUCUUGAGAGAAGGUGUCCAACUUCUGGUCCAACUUGUGAUUCAAAUAAAGAGCUUGAUCCAAUUUUCCAUCUAUCUUUUUAGAUAAGAAUUCUGAACUAUGGAAUUUGAGGUCUGCCAAUUUAGGACCUCUUUUGGUGGAGUGAGAGGCUCUAUGGAUCCUGAGGGAGUAAUCCUUGAGGGGAGGAUCUCCGAUCUUUUAUUUUCGGACUUCCCUAGGGGAGGAAAAUCUUCAGGCUGGAACAUGAAACAGCUUUGGAUUGGAUGGAGUGGUUGAACUUCUGGUAAAUCAGAAUGAGUCUCUUCUCUGCAAGUAGUAGAAGGCUUUUUCCCAAACACAAUUUCCAUUUGGGCCAAAAGUACCUUCAUCUCAUCAAAGGUGAUGUCAAGGACAGUCUUUCCUUCUUUUGCAAGAAGUUCUAAGGCUUCCUUAUACAUAGGAAGAGGAGCUUUACUCUGAUUUUCUUUUUGUUUCCUGUGGAUGCCAAUCUAAGGACCGUCUGGAUCUCGGUCAUCUGGCCUUGGCUCCAUGACUGAACAUGGAGUUUCUAGAGUCAUGUCUCUUGGAGUUUUCUUAGAGUGUUGAAAAUAUGGUUCAGCAAAAUCGAGAUCAUCUCCGCAGGUGCAUCCUGAUCUGCACAUUCCUCGGUCAACAUCCCAAAUAAAGUGUCCUUUAAUUCUGGCAGCAUAGAUAUGAUGUCCAGAGGACUUAAAUAAGUGAAUAGGGAUCUUUUCUCUAGGUCUAGACACAGGCUGUAUCAUUGAUGCCUGGAAGAUAGAAGGUGCAGAAGAAGAUUCUUCCGUUUUUGUGAAAAUCGUUUUCACAGUACCAUCCUUUUGGUUAACAAAAAGCGGGUCAGUAGCCUGAACAGGCUUGGCCUGGGAUGCCUG